rnacentral:rRNA from 1 species
CCUAGGAAUCUGCCUGGUAGUGGGGGACAACGUUUCGAAAGGAACGCUAAUACCGCAUACGUCCUACGGGAGAAAGCAGGGGACCUUCGGGCCUUGCGCUAUCAGAUGAGCCUAGGUCGGAUUAGCUAGUUGGUGAGGUAAUGGCUCACCAAGGCGACGAUCCGUAACUGGUCUGAGAGGAUGAUCAGUCACACUGGAACUGAGACACGGUCCAGACUCCUACGGGAGGCAGCAGUGGGGAAUAUUGGACAAUGGGCGAAAGCCUGAUCCAGCCAUGCCGCGUGUGUGAAGAAGGUCUUCGGAUUGUAAAGCACUUUAAGUUG